CUUUUUUCUUCGCGCCCUUCUCUCUCUCUCUCUCUCUCCUCGCUUUUUUUCUUCCCUCUCUCUAUCACACUCCACUUCCCGCUCGAUCCUUAUUAACAAUGAACAGUGCUAAUGGUUUUAUCGUGAUUUAGCUCUUUGAGGACCCCCAUCUUGUUUCCGUGAAACUGUGCGCGCGAUUUUCUUGGUUUAUUUGCUGAGUUUGGAGGUGGAACGUGAAAAGAUGAUCGACUACAGCCUGCCGGUAGCGAAGAGGACGAGGAUGAAGCGAGCAUUGGCCGGCGAGGAGCAUCUGGAGCGUAGGAAGAAGAGGAAGAAGAAGAAUCGGGCGGACUCCGCCAGUGCCAACAUUCGAGGUCAGGUUUCGAGCGAUAGAUUUGGCGAGAGUAGUAAGAGGGUUAAUACUUCUGAAAAUUGUAGCAUUAAUCGUAGAAUGAAGUCGGAGCCUGUUGCUUUGUCUAUUGAUAGUGAUGAGGACAGCGUAGAGGAGAUUGAUGCUUCUGCAUUUGGGACAGAAGGCGGGGACUCCGUCACAUUUGUGGCUUCCCAGAGUUCGGGGCUUAAGAAUGUGAAGAAAUGUAGUACGGGUUUGAAGGGCGGAAAUAUUGAUAUAAUCGAUUUAGAAGACGAGGAAGAAGAAGGGUUUGAUUCUGUAAAUUCUAAUUGCUCAAUUUCUAAGUCGGCUGCUGUUGGGAAGAAUGGUGGUUUUGAUUGCGUUGAUGUGGAUAAUGAAGAUGGUUCCAGUGGCUUGAUUUUGUGUGGCAAGGAAAACAAUGAUUUAGAGAUAUCCCCCAAUAAGAGCAUGAGGGGAAGUAACUCUGGUGGCUCAUACAGGGCUGAGCCCACGGUAGGAGACCGAGAGAAGAGCAAGGAAAAGAAUCCUUUGGGGGGAAGUAACUCUGGUGGCUCGUACAGGGCUGAGCCCACAGUAGGAGACAGAGAGACAAGCAAGGAAUGUUCUUCUGAUGAUGGUGUGGAGAAGUUGACUGAAUCGGAAGCAUCAUCAAGUGAAGAAGACAAUGGUGACUCCAGUGAUGGGACUUAUGAACUAGAAAAAUCAGAGGAGUCAAGUUCAGAGUGCUCUAGUUCAGAGUGCUCAAGUUCAGAAAGUGGGAAGAGUCGUGGACGUCACUGUGAAGGAACAAAAAGUAGAAGAGAAAGAAGGAAGAGGGUCAAAAUUUUUGAAGGUGGUUUAAGAAGAAGAGCGUAUGGACUUGACAUAUUCGUUGAUUUCGACAAGGAUGGGCGUAAUAGCAAUUGCAGAAAUGAAUAUGUUAAGGUUGGUGAACAACUUAAUCAUGUUGCCCAAAGAACUCGCUCACGAUUUAGUUCAAGGGCUACAAAAAUAAAUACCGAUCUUGGAACUGUCAAUCAUCCACUCUGUAUUGACGAGGAAGGGUCAGAUUUUCAGUGUGAUGAGGAGGAAUUAGAUUCUUCAUCAAGGCAUGACAGUACAGAUUCUUGUGAUAGCACUACCGAUGAUGAAACUUGCAAGCAAAGUACCUGGAGUAGUAAGAAGAAAACUGAGUUCAACAAUCAAAGUGGUGACAAGAUCUGCAAGCGAAGGACCUGGAGUAGUAAUAAGAAAACUGAGGUCAACAGUCAAAGUGGUGAUGAUACAAACAAGGUUGAGAGCUCUCAUGGUGGGAGUAAAUUUUGGUUUGAUGAAAGUGUACCUCGAAUGAACAACUGCAACCAGAGUGAAGAUUGUGAAGAUUUUCGGAAAGCUCACCCAAAGAAUUGCCAUGAGUUUGACAAUAUUAUUAAAAGAAAAGGCCACAGUGCAUCAAAAAGCCUUCAUAUUUACAAUAUUCUCAUUGAUUCCAUAAUCGCAGACAAAGAACUGCCUUCAGAUGAGUUAAUUCCUCCUAUAAAUCAAGUCUCUGAAGGUGAGAACAGUUCCCAUUUUUCUGAGAUGCCUCUUCCUUUGAAGUUCUUUGGAUUAGAGGAAUCACGUAUUCCAGAGAAGUCGGAGCAUGAAAAAGAACUGGACAAACUGUGGGCAGAGCUUGACUUUGCUCUUAGAUCCAGCGAGAUUGGUCUGGUGGAUUCUAAUACAGUUGAAAAUGAAGAUGGCUGUCCCACAAAGGUUGAGCAAGUGAAUCGUUGUCUUCAUGGUGAUCAUCGGCUCGUACUUGAUGAACAAAUUGGACUUAGAUGCGUAUGUUGUUCAUACGUCAAAUUGGAAAUCAAAGAUAUUGUACCUUCUUUUGACAAAAACCCAUAUGGAAAGUCACAGAAGAGGGAAUAUGGCUCAUUUGAGCGCGUUAAAAUUGAUGACCUUCAACAGGAUUUUGAUUGUGACCCCCAUGACGGAUCUGACUCACCAGCUCAUUUUGGACAAACAGUGUGGGAUAUCAUUCCUGGUCUUAGGAAUAGCAUGUAUCCACAUCAACGUGAAGGUUUUGAAUUCAUUUGGAGAAAUAUAGCUGGAGGAAUUUCUCUUGAUGAGUUAAGAGAAAGAAAUGACUUUAACAGUGGGAGUGGAUGCCUUGUAUCACAUGCUCCUGGUACAGGAAAAACUCGUCUAUCUAUUGUUUUUCUUCAGACAUACAUGGAAUUAUAUCCGACAUGCCGGCCAAUGAUUAUUGCACCUUGCAACAUGCUCCUUACCUGGGAAGAGGAGUUUUUGAAGUGGAAGGUUGACAUUCCCUUUCAUAACCUGAAUAAGCGAGAGUUCUCUUUCAAGGAGAAUAUUGCAGCUAUUAAGUUACUGAUGCAAGCUUCUCCGUCACGACCAAGUCUUGCCAAUGUUCGGCUUGUGAAACUGUUUUCCUGGAAGAAGGAGAAAAGCAUCUUGGGAAUUAGUUACAGACUGUUUGAGAGACUUGCUGGAGUUCGACUGAAUACUGAAAGUGAUAAGGUAAGGAAAAUCCUUUUGGAGCUUCCUGAUCUUGUGGUCUUUGAUGAAGGGCACAUACCACGCAAUUCUGAUAGUCUUAUUUGGAUGGCCUUGUCCAAAAUUAAAACCGAAAGGCGCAUCAUCCUCUCUGGAACUCCUUUCCAGAAUAAUUUUACUGAGUUCUAUACUACACUUAGGUUGGCUAGGCCAAGUUUGGCUGAUAUAAAUAGUUCCAACGGUGAUGAAUCUCUUGACAAGAAGCGUGGACGCCCAAAAAAUAUCCUGAGAGGAAAGUGGGACGCUUUGAUUAGUUCCCUUGGCAGAACUUCUGAAGACUUACUGGAAAGUCCUGAAUUGAAAGAAAUCAGAGCCUUGAUCAGUCCAUUUGUGCAUGUAUACAGGGGUAACAUACUACAAGAGAAACUUCCAGGGUUGAGAAAAUCUGUAGUUAUGUUACAGCCAGCAGAGCUGCAGAAGAGUCUUCUUCAGAGCAUUCAAGUGAGGAAGAAUCCUUUAGAAGUGGAAUAUGCUGAGUCCUUGAUCUCCGUACACCCUUCCCUGAUAUUGAAAUGUGAUAAAGAAGAUGUUGCUAUUGACAAGGAUAUGUUAGAGCGGAGUAGAUUGAAUCCUGAAUUGGGAGUGAAAAUACAGUUUGUCCUGGAAAUUAUUCGCCUGAGUAAACCUUUGAAUGAAAAAGUUUUAGUUUUCAGCCAAUACAUUGAACCAUUGUCCUUGAUAGAAGAACAUCUUAAGUCUCAUUGGAAUUGGACUGAAGGGAUAGAGCUUUUUCAUAUGAGUGGAAAACUUGAUGUAAGGAAACGACAAUCCUUAAUAAAUACCUUCAACGAUCCGACGAGUGAAGUUAGGGUAUUGCUUGCAUCGACAAAGGCUUGCUCGGAAGGUAUAAACCUUGUUGGGGCUUCAAGGGUAGUUUUACUUGAUGUUGUAUGGAAUCCCUCAGUGGAAAGGCAAGCUAUAUGCCGUGCAUAUAGACUUGGGCAGAAAAAAGUUGUCCAUGUCUAUCAUCUCAUUACUUCUGGGACAAGGGAACAGAAGAAAUACAGUCAAAAAGUGAAAAAAGAUCGAUUGUCUGAGUUAGUUUUCUCUCCUGAACAGAACAACAAUCAGGUAAAGUUGUCAUCUACAGAUCUGGAUGACAUAAUUUUGGAAGCAAUACUUCAACAUGAAAAGCUUAAAAAUAUAUUCCUAAAAAUAUACCAGUCAAAGGAGUCCAGCAUGAGUGAGAAUUUUGGCUUGGUAGAGAAAAGCUGUGAAAAUGUCCUCACCAACUGAGUUGUUGAACCUGAUGCUCUUAUCCUUGGUUUUGAAGUUCGAUGCACUUUUGGACAUUUUAUCGGCAGGCAUAAAGUUGAUGUACAGUGUUAUUUUUGGGCACUGCCUUGGAUUCUACCAUCUGCAACUCUGCAAGUCUGUCAUUUUUGUGUUCGAAUUGCAGAUUUACGCACCCUUCUUGCAAGAGUACCGUCGGAAGCAUUUUCUAACUUGCAUCUCAUUUUUUGAUGAAUCCAUUAGGUGGGGUAAUUGCCACUUUUGGUCCCUUUAUAUUUUUUGGAGUGCUUAAUUUUUUGAAGCAGCCAUUCAGACAUUCUGUGUAAAUUCCACUACUCAAUGUACAGUGACAUUUGGAUAACUUACCCAGAAAGAACUGCAGAUUCUUGGAAAGCCGUUAUGUUAGAAAGUAUAUAAGUUCAGAUUUGCUUUUGUGAACUUGAAAAAACUGUUAGUGAAAAGGAAAUGUUAACACAAUUUCUUUGUUUGUAGGUUCUUUUUUCCCUUCUAAUAUUUGCUACUUGCAUCGAUGUUGUAAUCCCAAUAUUAAUGUUCGGGGUAAAGAUUCGAACUUUCGACAUUUUCGUUGAUGAUAUAUUCUUUAACCAUGCUCAA